UGUCUUGGGCUGCACACGUGCUACAAUGGCAGGUACAAUGAGCUGCGAAACCGUGAGGUGGAGCGAAUCUCAAAAAGCCUGUCUCAGUUCGGAUUGGGGUCUGCAACUCGACCCCAUGAAGUCGGAGUUGCUAGUAAUCGCAGAUCAGCAUUGCUGCGGUGAAUACGUUCCCGGGCCUUGUACACACCGCCCGUCACGUCACGAAAGUCGGUAACACCCGAAGCCGGUGGCCCAACCCCUUGUGGGAGGGAGCUGUCGAAGGUGGGACUGGCGAUUGGGACGAAGUCGUAACAAGGUAGCCGUACCGGAAGGUGCGGCUGGAUCACCUCCCUUCUAAGGAGCACAUAGCCGACUGCAAGCAAAUGUCUUGCACGGUUGCUCAUGGGUGGAACGUUGACUAUUCGGUCCGGAUCUCGGGUCGGAGGCUUGCCAGUACUGCUCUUCGGAGCGUGGAACGCAUGAUCUCCGGACGGUUCUGGGCCGGGCACGCUGUUGGGUGUCUGAGGGAAUGAAUCCCCUCUUUCGCCGGCCCCAGUGCACUCGAACCGGUUGGUUCGGGGUGAUGGGUGGCUGGUCGUUGUUUGAGAACUGCACAGUGGACGCGAGCAUCUGUGGCCAAGUUUUUAAGGGCGC
rnacentral:sRNA from 1 species